AAGGACUCUCCAGGAGCCUUUUAUUUUUAGAGUGUAGGCUAGUCCGGCACGCAAGAUAGUACAUUUUUUGGACUAGGCCGAAUUUUAAAAAAGAAUUCUGAAGAAUUUCUCCUGAAAUGCCACUGUAGGCCUAGACAGCACAGCAUUGGUUAGGAAGCACAAAAAAAAACACAUUUUGAUCAGCAAUAGCGGCCUUCUUCCAUUACACACAGGUGUUCGGAGCAUGAUAGAUAGCUAAUUAGCACAGGUGGUCCAUCAGUCUUCUGUCUGUCUUCCGUAAACAUGCGUUGUAACAUGGAGAUAUGACAGUGUGGGAACACUAACCCCAACGCUAUAAAAGAUCAACGCAUUGAAAGGUUAACAAAACUCCCUUGUACGGAAGACGCCAGACUGAGACCCAUGAUCGCAGGCUAGCUGUCAAGUUGCAGGUCAUAAGGGCUGAGUUGCAGAGCAAGCUCCACUUAGACCAGGACUAUUCCUGUGAGGUGGUGGGGAGCUGGAAUACCUGGUACGGGGACCAGGACCAAGCGGGAGUAUCUGGAGUUCCAGAAGGAGAGGAUAAAUUGCUGGUCUCACGCAGAACCAGCUUCUCUUAGAGUUCUGUUUCUGGAACGAGCCAUCACCCAAACUGGGACAGAACAUUUUAAAGAUACAUUCAUACAAACUCAAGCCUGGAACAAUGAUCGAAUGAGGGAAUCACUGGUUACGGGCGAUCAAAUACAGACAGGAGAAUGACGAGGCAGUUGGAGGGUUCUUCUCACAGGUAGGAGACCUGUAUGAAGUUC